rnacentral:rRNA from 1 species
CAAUAGCGUAUAUUUAAGUUGCUGCAGUUAAAAAGCUCGUAGUUGGAUUUCGGGUGGGAAUGGCCGGUCCGCCGUUUCGGUGUGCACUUGCUACGCCCACCUUGCUGCCGGGGACGUGCUCUUGAGUUCACGCUCGGGACACGGAGUCGGCGAGGUUACUUUGAGUAAAUUAGAGUGUUCAAAGCAGGCCUACGCUCUGAAUACAUUAGCAUGGAAUAACACGAUAGGACUCUGGCCUAUCUUGGUGGUCUGUAGGACCGGAGUAAUGAUUAAGAGGGACAGUCGGGGGCAUUCGUAUUUCAUUGUCAGAGGUGAAAUUCUUGGAUUUAUGAAAGACGAACUACUGCGAAAGCAUUUGCCAAGGAUGUUUUCAUUAA